rnacentral:rRNA from 1 species
GAUGAACGCUGGCGGCGUGCCUAAUACAUGCAAGUCGAGCGAACAGACGAGGAGCUUGCUCCUCUGACGUUAGCGGGGACGGGUGAGUAACACGUGGAUAACCUACCUAUAAGACUGGGAUAACUUCGGGAAACCGGAGCUAAUACCGGAUAAUAUAUUGAACCGCAUGGUUCAAUAGUGAAAGACGGUUUUGCUGUCACUUAUAGAUGGAUCCGCGCCGCAUUAGCUAGUUGGUAAGGUAACGGCUUACCAAGGCAACGAUGCGUAGCCGACCUGAGAGGGUGAUCGGACACACUGGAACUGAGACACGGUCCAGACUCCUACGGGAGGCAGCAGUAGGGAAUCUUCCGCAAUGGGCGAAAGCCUGACGGAGCAACGCCGCGUGAGUGAUGAAGGUCUUCGGAUCGUAAAACUCUGUUAUUAGGGAAGAACAAAUGUGUAAGUAACUAUGCACGUCUUGACGGUACCUAAUCAGAAAGCCACGGCUAACUACGUG